GGCGCAUUCGUCUAGUGGUUAGGACACCGCCCUCUCAAGGCGGAAACAGGGGUUCGACUCCCCUAUGCGCUA
rnacentral:tRNA from 2 species